rnacentral:rRNA from 1 species
GAUGAACGCUAGCGACAGGCUUAACACAUGCAAGUCGAGGGGCAGCAUAGAAGUAGCAAUACUUUGGUGGCGACCGGCGCACGGGUGAGUAACGCGUAUGCAACCUACCUAUCAGAGGGGAAUAACCCGGCGAAAGUCGGACUAAUACCGCAUAAAACAGGGGCAACGCAUGGUGAUAUUUGUUAAAGAAAUUCGCUGAUAGAUGGGCAUGCGUUCCAUUAGAUAGUUGGUGAGGUAACGGCUCACCAAGCCGACGAUGGAUAGGGGAACUGAGAGGUUGGUCCCCCACACUGGUACUGAGACACGGACCAGACUCCUACGGGAGGCAGCAGUGAGGAAUAUUGGUCAAUGGGCGAGAGCCUGAACCAGCCAAGUCGCGUGAAGGAAGAAGGAUCUAUGGUUCGUAAACUUCCUUUGCAGGGGAAUAAAGUGCAGGACGUGUCCUGUUUUGUAUGUACCCUGAGAAUAAGGAUCGGCUAACUCCGUGCCAGCAGCCGCGGUAA